UCUGUCUUUAGUCGUGUGGUGUGAUGUGUUGCUUCCAAUUUGUGAAUGGUGGGACGAAGUUAAUGGCGUCUAUUGGAUUGAUAUUUCUCUGGAUUACAUCCAAUUCAUGAUUGAAAGUAGAGGUGACAUACGACAUAUUAAUGCAAGGAACUUAUUAAGAUG